GCCGGGCACAGUGGUACGUGCCUGUAGUCCCAGCUACUCGGGAGGCUGAGGUGGGAGGAUUGCUUGAGCCCAGGAGUUCUGGACUGUAGUGCACUAUGCCGAUCUGAUGUCUGCCUAAGUUCGGCAUCAAUAUGGUGACCUCCCAGGAGCAGGGGACCACCAGAUUGCCUAAGGAGGGGUGAACCAGCCCAGCUCGGAAACAGAGCAGGUCAGAACUCCUGUGCUGAUCAGUAGUGGGAUUACACCUAUGAAUAGCCACUGCACUCCAGCCUGGGCAACAUAGAAAGACCCCAUCUCU
rnacentral:SRP_RNA from 1 species